rnacentral:tRNA from 1 species
AGUCAAUAAGUUUUAAUAAACUUGUAUUUUGAAAAUACAGAAUGAAAGUUAAACCUUUCAUUGACUU